rnacentral:rRNA from 1 species
GAUGAACGCUGGCGGCGUGCCUAAUACAUGCAAGUAGAACGCUGAAGGAAGGAGCUUGCUCUUUCCGGAUGAGUUGCGAACGGGUGAGUAACGCGUAGGUAACCUGCCUGGUAGCGGGGGAUAACUAUUGGAAACGAUAGCUAAUACCGCAUAACAGUAGAUGUUGCAUGAUAUCUACUUAAAAGGUGCAAUUGCACCACUACCAGAUGGACCUGCGUUGUAUUAGCUAGUUGGUGAGGUAACGGCUCACCAAGGCGACGAUACAUAGCCGACCUGAGAGGGUGAUCGGCCACACUGGGACUGAGACACGGCCCAGACUCCUACGGGAGGCAGCAGUAGGGAAUCUUCGGCAAUGGACGGAAGUCUGACCGAGCAACGCCGAGUGAGUGAAGAAGGUUGUCGGAUCGUAAAGCUCUGUUGUAAGAGAAGAACGAGUGUGAGAGUGGAAAGUUCACACUGUGACGGUAUCUUACCAGAAAGGGACGGCUAACUACGUG